UUUGAUCCUGGCUCAGGAUGAACGCUGGCGGCGUGCUUAACACAUGCAAGUCGAACGGGGGUUACUUCGUAGCGAUCUUCGGAUCAAAGCGAUAUAACUCGAGUGGCGGACGGGUGAGUAACACGUGAGUAACCUGCCUUUUGCUGGGGAAUAACUGUGGGAAACCAUGGCUAAUACCGCAUGUUGUGCAUGACAGGCAUCUGUUGUGUAUGAAAGGAGAAAUCCGGCAGAAGAUGGGCUCGCGUCCGAUUAGGUAGUUGGUGGGGUAACGGCCUACCAAGCCCGCGAUCGGUAGCCGGACUGAGAGGUCGAACGGCCACAUUGGGACUGAGACACGGCCCAGACUCCUACGGGAGGCAGCAGUGGGGAAUAUUGGGCAAUGGGCGAAAGCCUGACCCAGCGACGCCGCGUGAAGGACGAAGGCCUUCGGGUUGUAAACUUCUUUGGGGAGGGACGAAAAUGACGGUACCUCCAGAACAAGCCACGGCUAACUACGUGCCAGCAGCCGCGGUAAUACGUAGGUGGCAAGCGUUAUCCGGAUUUACUGGGUGUAAAGGGCGCGCAGGCGGCCCCAAAAGUCAGAUGUGAAAGAUCAAGGCUUAACUUUGACAUGUCAUCUGAAACUUUGGGACUUGAGUAUCAGAGGGGAAAGCGGAAUUCCUGGUGGAGCGGUAAAAUGCGCAGAGAUCAGGAGGAACACCGGUGGCGAAGGCGGCUUUCUGGCUGACAACUGACGCUGAGGCUCGAAAGCGUGGGGAGCAAACAGAAUUAGAUACCCUGGUAGUCUACGCCGUAAACGAUGAGUGCUAAGUGUUGGAGGGUUUCCGCCCUUCAGUGCUGCAGCUAACGCAUUAAGCACUCCGCCUGGGGAGUACGGCCGCAAGGCUGAAACUCAAAGGAAUUGACGGGGGCCCGCACAAGCGGUGGAGCAUGUGGUUUAAUUCGAAGCAACGCGAAGAACCUUACCAGGUCUUGACAUCCUUUGACCACUCUAGAGAUAGAGCUUUCCCUUCGGGGACAAAGUGACAGGUGGUGCAUGGUUGUCGUCAGCUCGUGUCGUGAGAUGUUGGGUUAAGUCCCGCAACGAGCGCAACCCUUAUUGUUAGUUGCCAUCAUUUAGUUGGGCACUCUAGCGAGACUGCCGGUGACAAACCGGAGGAAGGUGGGGAUGACGUCAAAUCAUCAUGCCCCUUAUGACCUGGGCUACACACGUGCUACAAUGGGAAGUACAACGAGUCGCAAAGUCGCGAGGCUAAGCUAAUCUCUUAAAACUUCUCUCAGUUCGGAUUGUAGGCUGCAACUCGCCUACAUGAAGCCGGAAUCGCUAGUAACCGCGGAUCAGCACGCCGCGGUGAAUACGUUCCCGGGCCUUGCACUCACCGCCCGUCA
rnacentral:rRNA from 1 species